rnacentral:rRNA from 1 species
CAAAAACAUAGCUGUGUGAUAUCACUCAUAGUAUUUUCUGCUCAAUGAAUUUUAAAUAGCCGCAGUACCCUGACUGUGCAAAGGUAGCGUAAUCAGUUGGCUUCUAAUUAAAGUCUCGUAUCAAAGAACAUAUGGGGGUCUACUAUACCAGUAAUAUGUAAUGAACUUACUUAGAGGGUGCAAAUACCCUCCCACCUUAAUAGACGAGAAGACCCUAGAAAUUUUUACAAACGUUUUUGUUGGGGCAACAUAGUAACAGAAAACUUACUCUAUACAUACAGGAAAAGACUUAGGAAGCGGAAAUUACUCUAGGGAUAACAGCAUAAUGUAUAAUCGUUUGUGACCUCGAUGUUGGACUAGGAAGUUAUAACCUAAAAGGUGUUUAAUUAUGCUCUGUUCGAGCA